GGUGAAUCAGAUUUUUGUCUUUGAUGUAAAUCAAGUGAUAUUGAAACAUCACCUGUUAUUUGUUGAACCAUUGAUUUAAAAUUUCUCAAGAUCACAACCAGACAAAACAAUUGUCACAGGCCGGAGCGGACCACCAAUUCAACGGGUCUCGCUCCUCCCUCUAACUUCCACCUCGAGGAGGUCCCACAACACCCCAAUGAAUGGACGGACAACCAAGAUUAAAAUGUAACAAUUUUAUUUGUUUAAAAGUUUGGGGAAAGGGGUAAGGAAACUUUAAAACUAAUGAUGACUCGAACUAUUCUUUAUCCACAAUUACGGAUUCCAGUCUCAAGAACACUCCUCUUCAACCCUUCCUCGACAACACUCCACUUCAGCCCUUACUUUCCAGCCGACUCCACUCCAGGUAAGUUUAAAGCAAGGGCUAGGCAGUUAACGUGCAGGGACUUUCUGGCCCUGGGGGGAGGAGGGUGGACUUCAAGACCCAAGGCUGGGCUGUUAAUGUGCAGAGGUUCCAGCUCUCAGGUAAGUACAGAGUUCAAUACACAGGUGGGUAUGCACAGGGCUGAGCCGUUAGCGUGCAGGGGUUCUAGCUCUCAGGUAAAUACAGAGGGUAAGGAAACUUUAAAACUAAUGAUGACUCGAACUAUUCUUUAUCCACAAAUACGGAUUCCAGUCUCAAGAACACUCCUCUUCAGCCCUUCCUCGACAACACUCCACUUCAGCCCUUACUUUCCAGCCGACUCCACUCCAGGUAAGUUUAAAGCAAGGGCUAGGCAGUUAACGUGCAGGGACUUUCUGGCCCUGGGGGGAGGAGGGUGGACUUCAAGACCCAAGGCUGGGCUGUUAAUGUGCAGAGGUUCCAGCUCUCAGGUAAGUACAGAGUUCAAUACACAGGUGGGUAUUCACAAGGCUGAGCUGUUAGCGUGCAGGGGUUCUAGCUCUCAGGUAAAUACAGAGUUCAAUACACAGGUGAGUAUUCACGGGGCUGGGCUGUUAAUGUGCAGAGGUUCUAGCUCUCAGGUAAGUACAGCGUUCAAACACAGGUGGGUAUGCACAGGGCUGAGCUGUUAG
rnacentral:lncRNA from 1 species